rnacentral:rRNA from 1 species
UACGUAGGGUGCAAGCGUUGUCCGGAAUUAUUGGGCGUAAAGGGCGCGUAGGCGGCCACCGCAAGUCGGUUGUGAAAUCUCCGGGCUUAACCCGGAAAGGUCAAUCGAUACUGCGGGGCUAGAGUGCAGAAGGGGCAACUGGAAUUCUCGGUGUAGCGGUGAAAUGCGUAGAUAUCGAGAGGAACACCUGCGGCGAAGGCGGGUUGCCGGGCUGACACUGACGCUGAAGCGCGAAAGCUAGGGGAGCGAACGGG